rnacentral:rRNA from 1 species
AUUGAACGCUGGCGGCAGGCUUAACACAUGCAAGUCGAACGAGUGGCGGACGGGUGAGUAAUGUCUGGGAAUCUGCCUGAUGGAGGGGGAUAACGACUGGAAACGGUCGCUAAUACCGCAUACCAUCAGAUGUGCCCAGAUGGGAUUAGGUAGUUGGUGGGGUAACGGCUCACCAAGGCGACGAUCCCUAGCUGGUCUGAGAGGAUGACCAGCCACACGGGGACUGAGACACGGUCCAGACUCCUACGGGAGGCAGCAGUGGGGAAUAUUGCGCAAUGGGCGCAAGCCUGAUGCAGCCAUGCCGCGUGUAUGAAGAAGGCCUUCGGGUUGUAAAGUCCUUUCAGCGAGGAGGCGUUACCCACAGAAGAAGCACCGGCUAACUCCGUGCCAGCAGCCGCGGUAAUAC